UACGUAGGGUGCGAGCGUUGUCCGGAAUUAUUGGGCGUAAAGAGCUCGUAGGCGGUUUGUCGCGUCGUUCGUGAAAACUCCACGCUUAACGUGGAGCGUGCGGGCGAUACGGGCAGACUUGAGUUCGGUAGGGGAGACUGGAAUUCCUGGUGUAGCGGUGAAAUGCGCAGAUAUCAGGAGGAACACCGAUGGCGAAGGCAGGUCUCUGGGCAUUAACUGACGCUGAGGAGCGAAAGCAUGGGGAGCGAACAGG
rnacentral:rRNA from 1 species